rnacentral:rRNA from 1 species
GGCUCAGAUUGAACGCUGGCGGCAGGCCUAACACAUGCAAGUCGAGCGGUAACAGAGAGUUGCUUGCACCUUUGCUGACGAGCGGCGGACGGGUGAGUAAUGCUUGGGAACAUGCCUUGAGGUGGGGGACAACAGUUGGAAACGACUGCUAAUACCGCAUAAUGUCUACGGACCAAAGGGGGCUUCGGCUCUCGCCUUUAGAUUGGCCCAAGUGGGAUUAGCUAGUUGGUGAGGUAAUGGCUCACCAAGGCGACGAUCCCUAGCUGGUUUGAGAGGAUGAUCAGCCACACUGGGACUGAGACAC